UACGGAGGGUGCGAGCGUUGUCCGGAAUCACUGGGCGUAAAGGGCGCGUAGGCGGCCGUGUAAGUCACUUGUGAAAUCCCGGGGCUCAACUCCGGGGCUGCAGGUGAGACUGCGUGGCUAGAGCACGGUAGAGGCGAGUGGAAUUCCCGGUGUAGCGGUGGAAUGCGUAGAUAUCGGGAAGAACACCGGUGGCGAAGGCGGCUCGCUGGGCCGUUGCUGACGCUGAGGCGCGAAAGCGUGGGGAGCAAAC
rnacentral:rRNA from 1 species